rnacentral:lncRNA from 1 species
UAAAAAGUACAAUCCAUGCUAUGCUGGCAGGGCCUGGAGAGCUGGCUGGCCAGGCACUGGCAGGCAUGGCCGGCCUGUUCUCAUCUUGUGGAGACGCUCUGACUCAGAGCUCUGAAAUCUCUCCACCCAGCUCACUAAGUUCCCACUGGUGGGUCAUUACCAGGCCAAUUCCCACAGACUUUUGGGUGCACUUCUUGCAAACCCACGCUCUGCCACUUUACCUUUCUCUCUGCAUGAAGGAAAACACUACAUAAACAUAGUUCAGAAUCAUUGGGAACUCAAUCACUGCGUACAACUAACAUAAUUUACAAGCCAUUCUAAGUUAAAUCCUCUGGAAGCAGAUCCAAAUGGAUCCACCACCUGAAACGAGGUCCCCUCUAUCUAUAUUUUUGCCUCAUCUCCAGCCCUCCCACUCACUCUCUUCUCCUCCACUGUCCCUCUGCCCACCCCGGAAGUCCCACCUACUUGCCCAGUGAUUGGUUUCUUUAUUCAUUAGAAGGGUCACAUGACAUCCCAAGUAUUUGAUUCACUCCUCUUUCCAGUCAGUUCCUCUUGGGGAAGUUGAAUUAGCAUCAAAAUACAGACAGCACCAGGGCUAUCCACAACACUACUACACCUACCUUUCCAAGGAUUCACACUCUAAUAUUUCCUCUUGUUUUUUUAAUGGAAUGUUGUUUUAAUAACAAAUACUGUGUAUGGAGAUAAUCUGGCCUAUCUUUUUCUCAACCACACCUCAAACACCAAUUUAAAUGAUGCAUUAACUAAAAUAUAAGCCAAAAAUAAAUGAAAUCAGUUUCUCUAAAAUAAACAUGUUAAACC